AUUGAACGCUGGCGGCAUGCUUUACACAUGCAAGUCGAACGGUAACAGGCCUUCGGGUGCUGACGAGUGGCGAACGGGUGAGUAAUGCAUCGGAACGUGCCCAGAGGUGGGGGAUAACGCAGCGAAAGCUGUGCUAAUACCGCAUGUGAUCUGAGGAUGAAAGCGGGGGACCAGGCAGCAAUGUUUGGCCUCGCGCCUUUGGAGCGGCCGAUGUCAGAUUAGGUAGUUGGUGGGGUAAAGGCCUACCAAGCCGACGAUCUGUAGCUGGUCUGAGAGGACGACCAGCCACACUGGGACUGAGACACGGCCCAGACUCCUACGGGAGGCAGCAGUGGGGAAUUUUGGACAAUGGGCGCAAGCCUGAUCCAGCAACGCCGCGUGCGGGAAGAAGGCCUUCGGGUUGUAAACCGCUUUUGUACGGAACGAAAAGGCUCUGGCUAAUACCUGGGGCUGAUGACGGUACCGUAAGAAUAAGCACCGGCUAACUACGUG
rnacentral:rRNA from 1 species